rnacentral:pre_miRNA from 1 species
CAACUACUCCCUCUGUCCCAAAUUUCUUGUCUUAGAUUUGUCUAUAUACGGAUGUAUCUAAUACUAAAAUGUGACUUGAUACAUCUGUAUCUAGACAAAUCUAAGACAAGAAUUUUGGGACGGAGGGAGUACUUU